CCCCUUAGACUCUCCACUCCUACUGCCCAUGCCUGCUCUCUCAGGGCACAUGCCUGAGAUGGCUCGCCUGCUCCACACUUCAGGUUGGGCUGGUCCUUGUUUCACAGUCUCCUUGGGUAUGAUUAGACACCUGUCUGGCUGCACAACUUGCCCCAUAAAUAGGCUAAACGUUAAGCUGAUUGAAUUCAUUCCUAGCCACCUUCUCCAUGAAGCUUCUGGGCACCGCAGCCUCUGCUGACUGCUCCCACUGAGAACAGACAGCAGUAACCACACCCUGCUACAUGUUAGUGUCCACAGUGAGGAAGAGAACAAGCAGCAUGCCCUGUGCCAAGCACUGUGCUCCGUGUCAUUUACUUAACUGUCUUGACUGAGUAUCUUAUGAUGUGAGUGGCUAUCAGUAACUCUGUUUCAGACUGCUUAAAGAAUAAGGAAUUAUAGGAGUUCUCUUGUGGGGCUAUGGUUUAAGGAACUGGUUGGGCCACUGCUGUGGUGCAGCUUGAUCCCUGGCCUGGGAACUUCCACAUGCAGCAGGCACAGCCAAAAAAGAAAAACCAAAGUAAUAAGAAUCAUUUUUCCAUAUAACAAGAAAUCCUGAGGUCAGGCAGUCAGUUCAGACUCUCCUGAACCUCCAAAGCCAGAUUCCCUUUGGGUAAUAUGUAUUCCUCUUCUGAGUCCUUCACAAUUUCUUCCUGAUACUCCAUUCCCCAUAGAAGAAGUCAUAAAAUUCAUAAAAGCAGUAGGGGAUCAGGUAAGGGGGAAAACAACUAAAAUACAUAGCUGCAAGAAAACACAGGUGGAUGGAAUUCUCAUUGUGGUGCAGUGGAAAUGAAUCCGACUAGUACACACAAGGAUGCAGGUUUGAUCCCUGGUCUCACUCAGUGGGUUAAGAAUCUGGCUUUGCUGUGAGCUGUGGUGUAGUUUGCAGAUGUAGCUCAGAUCCUGUGUGGUUGUGGCUGUGGCAUAGCCCAGCAAUGUUCAUUUUGCCUUAGCUGGAGUUUAUGACAUCCUUCCUCUAAAACCUAUUCCAUGUGCCCUUUCUCUUCAGCAGCAUCUUAGCUGGAUAGAGUUCUUGACCCAGUGAGAUGCCCCAAACUCUGAUUUUUUUGGAGCAUCUGAAUCUUUGGUGGGCCUGCUUAAAUGGAUUUGUUGAAGUCUUCUAUUAGCUUUUUCCACAUACUGGGCUUGAUGAACCAGGUGUUACCCUCCCUAUUGUGCAGGCAUUAUUGUCCCCAGCCCCUAUUAUUUAUAUAAGAGCAUCUGUAGCUGCAGGCUACUGUAACCCUCUUUAUGCUUGUUCCCCAAGUGGCAUGAAAACAUUGAGAUGGACAGGUGGCAGUUGCAGUUUUCAAUAUAAUGAAAUCAUCCUCUUGUCUCCUUUCUUGAGUGUUAGCCCUCGAAGCCAGCAGAGCUGAGCUGCAGAAAUAACGUAUCAGCCAGGAUCCCAACAGGAAACUGCAUUCAACUCACUUGAUUUAAAUGAAGAGAUUUUGCUGAGGGACCACUUACAGAGGGGAGGCCAGGGUUAGGGAGUCUAUCAUAGGUUGAGGCACCCAGAGACUAACAUAGAGCAGAAAGCAGAUACCACCACUAGGCUUGAAAAGGUAAGUGGAGGAAAUACUAUUAUCUGAGCCCAGGAAGAAUGGAGCUGAGGUGGGAUCACCUGGAAGAAGUAGCCCCUGAAAAAGAUGUAAUGCCAAACCUUGGAGAGAAGGAAUAGGAAUGCCCAGCUCGCUCUCUCCUCUGGCUUCACUUACCCGUCUGUGCCGUCUCUUGGCUGAUCCAGAGGCAAGCCAGCAUGGGAGGCCAGGUGAGAUAGUCAACAGGGCAGAAAGUGGAAUAUGGAAUAACCCAAUAUGGAAUAACCAUAAAUAGGAAACGAAAGCAUUUGCAAGGAGGUUGCUAGAUGGCAUAGUGAGAGAUGCCACCCACUUCUACCCACUCUUUCAUGGUUUCCCAGAGUGAGGUGUUCUGCCUUUGGAACCCCCAGCAGCAUAUACUGGUUUCUAGCUCAAAGCACAGGCUCAUGCAGGAGGACAGCAGCUCAACCUCGCAAGGGGUUUUCUCAAAUGCUACUACUGAGUCUUUCUUGAAGAAUUCUAACCUCCUAGAAGACCAGUGAGUGCCAUAUAUUUCAUCUCAUUUCCUUUAGGGUAUCUUAUUAUUCUAAAAUAAAUUCCUUGCUGCGAUGCAUGUGGUGUGGGAUACUGCAAUGGUGAGUAAAGCAUUUAGUAAGUCUACUGGUGAUGUUGCCAGAAGAAACACAGUGGCCAGGCAAGGCAAAUCGAAUCCCUAGUGGGCUCUCCCUACCUGAGGACAAACCAUUGCCCCCUUCAAGAUGGAAGGGGUUAUAAAUAGCCUGCCACUGGGCACCCGAAGUAGGUACCAUAUCAGAUGUCCAGCAUUGGUCUUUGCUGCGGGCAAACUGGGGAAUCAGAGUGGCAGUAGCCAGAUCAUCUCGGUAAGGGGAAGCCCCUGUUGUUGAGCUCAUGCAUAAUUUUUUCCUGUGCCACUACAGCCUCUUUGUUUGAGUGCCUCAUGGGGUAGCAGAAGUGACUGACAUCCAUGGUCAGAUUGUCCAUCUCACUUUUGAAAGCAUGCUCUCCAGAAAGGCCCUUUUUGUUAUCAUUCAUGGGAAAACAAUAUCACACACUCUGUACUCAUUCUAAGAGGCUUACUGUCAUACGUCUUCUCUAAAUUUACUUGACACUGAAGCUCCAUUGUUGUCCUUUCCAAAUUUCUGACCAGUUAACUGAAUCAUUAGCCACAGCCUAUGAACCAUGAUAGAUCCAUUCUUCUGGCCAUCUUUCUUUCCAAGAAAAGCAGAUGACUCAAAGUUCUUCCCUUUGGGAGUUUUCACUUCUUAUUGUCUUUCAAAGUCACCUCUGAAUGAAUCUAUAGAAUUUCAGGAAAUAGAAAGCCACCUGUAGGCUAUACUUGCCAUCUUUGUCCUCAUUCCGUGGUCUCAGGAAUGCCGUUUGAAGCCACAGGUGUUCGUUGAAGGCAAGGUGGCAAUUCACCUAGAGAAGCUACACUGGAGAAGGUGGGCAUCCUACUCAUGCAGCUCAUAGGUACCCCUUCUGCUUCCACUCUGUAUGCUUUUAUGGCUGUAUAUCAGAUAAUAUCCAGUUAUUAAUGGGAAGUUCAGAUCCCGUGGUUACUUAGUGUCCUUCAGUCAGGCAAUCAGACUCUACUAAAGCUCAAAAGCCAGCCAAGAAUUGUUUCUCAAAGGGAAAAUAGCUAUUUGUAAAUCAGAUCUGGUUCUUCUCUUAAACCCUUGGACUUGCACUGUAACCAUCCUUUCAGAGCUUGCUAUAUGCUUUACAUACUAUCCCCAUCUGCCACACCCCAUGUGAGCACUGGUGCAUCUGUGGGUCAUCACCUCUUAGAGACAGAGGAUUUUUUUUUUUUUUUUGUGGUUUUGAUUUUUUCUGCUUUUUGCUUUUUUGGGGCUGCACCUGUGGCAUAUGGAGGUUCCCAGGCUAGGGGUCGAAUCAGAGCUCUAGCUGCUGGCCUACGCCACAGCCACAGCAACGCAGGAUCCGAGCUGAGUCUGUGACCUACACCACAAGUCACAGCAACGCCAGAUCCUUAACCCACUGAGUGAGGCCAGGGAUCGAACCUGCAACGUUAUGGUUCCUAGUCAGAUUCAUUUCCACUGCACCACAGCGGGAACUCCAAGACAAAACUUCUUGUACUACAGUCUGAACUAGCAGGAGAACUGAUUCUUAACCUGAACCAAACUCAAAUGUGGUAGCCUUUUGGGUGACUUGGUCAAUAAGUUGGAGCAACACACCCAAUCAUAGUGUAUAUUUGCUCUUAAAUACAGUGAAGCCCAAUGAGUAUUGUGCCUUUUUCUUAGUGUUGGGUACCACUACAUGUCUUUCACUUUGACAGAGUUAUUGUAUCAUCUCCCAGACUCCUGAAUCCCCAGAAAUUUCACCAAGAUGUUGGGAAUUCAUGGGAUUUCUCUCUCACCUUAUGGCAUCUGUGUGUCUUACUAAGACCUCUGGAGUGCUGUCUACCUCCUGCUGUUUGGAUUCUAGAGUCAUGCUAUCACUUUGGUACCAUAUGACGUCUUGGAGGAUGGAGAAACAAGCAAGGUCUUGUAGAAUGAAUUAUGGCCCAGAGUGAGGAAGUUGACAUAACCCUGAGGCAAAAUGGUGAAGGUGGACUCCUGUUUCUGUCAAGGGAAAACAAACUGCUUCCAGUUUUUCUAUUAUUCGGGAAAGAGGGGAAAGAAAUCUAGAUGAAUAGCUACAGUUCCAGAGACUAGAUUUAAUUGUAAAGAUCUACAUUUGGAUGGUAGUUGCAGUUGGGAUCCUCUCCUAAUUAAGCUUAUGAUAGUUUGUGGUCAUGAUCCAAGACCCCUCUUUAAUAUGUCAUGGAUUAAAUUGGUGAGUGAAAUGGGAGUGAGUGAUAUGAUAGAAAUCAAUACCUCUACCUUUUCAGGUCUUUGAAUACUGUCAAUAUUAAUUUUUAAUGAACUGGUUUUGGACAUUCCCUCAUGAAUGCAGAAUAGCUUUUUGUUUGUUUGUUUUGUCUUUUGUCUUUUUACGAACGCCUUCACAGCAUAUGGAGGUUCCCAGGCUAGGGGUCUAAUCAGAGCUGUUGCUGCUGGCCUUUGCCAUAGCCACGGCAAUGCCAGAUCUGAGCCACAUCUGCAACUUACACCACAGCUCAUGGCAACACUGGAUCCUUAACCCACUGAGCAGGGCCGGGGAUCAAACCUGAAACCUUAUGGUUCCUAGUCGGAUUUGUUUCCACUGCACCAAGAUGGGAACUCCAGAAUUGGUUUUUUGUUGUUUAUAAUAUUGGAAUGCAAGAGAAGCUCUAGGGUUUCCCUCCCUGCUUACUAUAAUUGCCUUCCAUCCAAGGUCAGAGGGUCAGUGUGGAAUUCUUCCUCUUGCUGAUCUGGAGUAUGAGCCAUUAUGUGCUAGGAGGUAGGUGUAUCUAAUAUUGAGGGUCUGAUUGAGGAAGUCUGGCUCUUUUUGGUAGCAUAGUGGAAUCCUGGGUCCCUCUGAGGCCUCUGUGGCGGCAUAUGGAGGUUGCCAGGCUAGGGAUCUAAUUGGAGCCAUAGCCGCCGACCGAUGCCACAGCUACAGUGACGCAGGAUCUGAGCCACAUCCUGCAACCUACACCACAGCUCAUGGCAACACCAGGUCCUUAACCCACUGAGCAAGGCCAGGGACCUAACCUGCAACCUCGUUGUUCCUAGUCAGAUUCGUUAACCACUGUGCCACGACGGGAACUCCAACAAUAACUUCGUUAGGUGAUACCAUUACAGGGCCUCCAGCAAGGUGGGAACAGCCUUUUCAAGGAAGGGGCACUUUCUGGACAGUAGAUUAGUGGGGCAUGGUACCUCUCUUACUAAGCCUGCUGCUGGAAGAUGCUGGGUUAUCCCAGCUAGGUAUAAGAUAUCCUGUACAUACUUUUGAUAUUAUCACGUUAUCCAGAAAUUCUGGGUCUUCUAAAUAACUGAGAUCUGGGAACUGCUCUGGUGACUUAAGAUCCAGUUGGCUUUGGAGUUCCUGUUAUGGCUCAGUGGUUAACGAACCCAACUAGUAACCAUGAGUUUGCAGGUUUGAUCCCUGGCCUCACUCAGUGGGUUAAGGAUCCGAUGUUGCUGUGAGCUGUGGUGUAUGUUGCAAAUGUGGCUUAGAUCCUGCAUUGCUGUGCCUGUGCUGUAGGCCAUCAGCUACAGCUCUGAUUUGACCCCCUAGCCUGGGAACCUCCAUAUGCCACAAGUGUGGCCCUAAAAAGACCAAAAGAAAAAAAAAAAA
rnacentral:lncRNA from 1 species